rnacentral:rRNA from 1 species
CAGCAGCCACGGGAAUACGAAGGGGGCUAGCGUUGUUCGGAUUUACUGGGCGUAAAGGGCGCGUAGGCGGGCGAAUAAGUCAGGGGUGAAAUCCCAAGGCUCAACCUUGGAACUGCCUUUGAUACUGUUUGUCUUGAGUUCGAGAGAGGUAAGUGGAACUGCGAGUGUAGAGGUGAAAUUCGUAGAUAUUCGCAAGAACACCAGUGGCGAAGGCGGCUUACUGGCUCGAAACUGACGCUGAGGCGCGAAAGCGUGGGGAGCAAACAGGAUUAGAUACCCCCGUAGUCCCUGUCUCUUAUAC